rnacentral:rRNA from 1 species
CCUACGGGAGACAGCAGUGAGGAAUAUUGGUCAAUGGACGAGAGUCUGAACCAGCCAAGUAGCGUGAAGGAUGACUGCCCUAUGGGUUGUAAACUUCUUUUAUAAAGGAAUAAAACGAGGUACGUGUGCCUUUUUGCAUGUACUUUAUGAAUAAGGAUCGGCUAACUCCGUGCCAGCAGCCGCGGUAAUACGGAGGAUCCGAGCGUUAUCCGGAUUUAUUGGGUUUAAAGGGAGCGUAGAUGGGUUGUUAAGUCAGUUGUGAAAGUUUGCGGCUCAACCGUAAAAUUGCAAUUGAUACUGGCAGUCUUGAGUACAGUUGAGGUAGGCGGAAUUCGUGGUGUAGCGGUGAAAUGCUUAGAUAUCACGAAGAACCCCGAUUGCGAAGGCAGCUUACCAAACUGUGACUGACAUUGAUGCUCGAAAGUGUGGGUAUCAAACAGGAUUAGAUACCCCAGUAGUC